rnacentral:rRNA from 1 species
CCUACGGGCGGCUGCAGUGGGGAAUAUUGGACAAUGGGGGCAACCCUGAUCCAGCCAUGCCGCGUGUGUGAAGAAGGCCCUCGGGUUGUAAAGCACUUUCAGUGAGGAAGAACGCCUGGUGGUUAAUACCCAUCAGGAAAGACAUCACUCACAGAAGAAGCACCGGCUAACUCCGUGCCAGCAGCCGCGGUAAUACGGAGGGUGCGAGCGUUAAUCGGAAUUACUGGGCGUAAAGCGCGCGUAGGUGGCUUGAUAAGCCGGUUGUGAAAGCCCCGGGCUCAACCUGGGAACGGCAUCCGGAACUGGCAAGCUAGAGUGCAGGAGAGGAAGGUAGAAUUCCCGGUGUAGCGGUGAAAUGCGUAGAGAUCGGGAGGAAUACCAGUGGCGAAGGCGGCCUUCUGGACUGACACUGACACUGAGGUGCGAAAGCGUGGGUAGCAAACAGGAUUAGAUACCCUGGUAGUC